AACGAACGCUGGCGGCAUGCCUAACACAUGCAAGUCGAACGAGACCUUCGGGGCUAGUGGCGCACGGGUGCGUAACGCGUGGGAACCUGCCCUUAGGUUCGGAAUAACUCCCCGAAAGGGGUGCUAAUACCGGAUAAUGUCUUCGGACCAAAGAUUUAUCGCCUUUGGAUGGGCCCGCGUUGGAUUAGCUAGUUGGUAGGGUAAAAGCCUACCAAGGCGACGAUCCAUAGCUGGUCUGAGAGGAUGAUCAGCCACACUGGGACUGAGACACGGCCCAGACUCCUACGGGAGGCAGCAGUGGGGAAUAUUGGACAAUGGGCGAAAGGCUGAUCCAGCAAUGCCGCGUGAGUGAUGAAGGCCUUAGGGUUGUAAAGCUCUUUUACCCGGGAUGAUAAUGACAGUACCGGGAGAAUAAGCUCCGGCUAACUCCGUG
rnacentral:rRNA from 1 species